rnacentral:rRNA from 1 species
AGUGAACGCUGGCGGUAGGCCUAACACAUGCAAGUCGAACGGCCGCACAGUAAGAGCUUGCUCUUACGGGUGGCGAGUGGCGGACGGGUGAGGAAUACAUCGGAAUCUACUCUUUCGUGGGGGAGAACGUAGGGAAACUUACGCUAAUACCGCAUACGACCUACGGGUGAAAGCAAGGGAACUUCGUACCUUGCGCGAUUGAAUGAGCCGAGGUGGGAUUAGCUAGUUGGCGGGGUAAAGGCCCACCAAGGCGACGAUCCGUAGCUGGUCUGAGAGGAUGAUCAGCCACACUGGAACUGAGACACGGUCCAGACUCCUACGGGAGGCAGCAGUGGGGAAUAUUGGACAAUGGGCGCAAGCCUGCUCCAGCCAUACCGCGUGGGUGAGGAAGGCCUUCGGGUUGUAAAGCCCUUUUGUUGGGAAAGAAAAGCAGCAGGUUAAUACCCCGCUGUUCUGACGGUACCCAAAGAGUAAGCACCGGCUAACUUCGUG